UAAGUGAAGAGUUUGAUCCUGGCUCAGAUUGAACGCUGGCGGCAUGCCUAACACAUGCAAGUCGAACGGCAGCACAGUGGUAGCAAUACCAUGGGUGGCGAGUGGCGGACGGGUGAGUAAUGCAUCGGGACCUACCUGAACGUGGGGGAUAACGUAGGGAAACUUACGCUAAUACCGCAUACGUCCUACGGGAGAAAGCGGGGGACCUUCGGGCCUCGCGCGGUCAGACGGACCGAUGUUCGAUUAGCUAGUUGGUAAGGUAAUGGCUUACCAAGGCGACGAUCGAUAGCUGGUCUGAGAGGAUGAUCAGCCACACUGGAACUGAGACACGGUCCAGACUCCUACGGGAGGCAGCAGUGGGGAAUAUUGGACAAUGGGCGCAAGCCUGAUCCAGCAAUGCCGCGUGUGUGAAGAAGGCCUUCGGGUUGUAAAGCA
rnacentral:rRNA from 1 species